UACGUAUGGGGCAAGCGUUAUCCGGAUCUACUGGGUGUAAAGGGAGCGUAGGUGGCAUGGUAAGCCAGAAGUGAAAACCCGGGGCUCAACCCCGCGGAUUGCUUUUGGAACUAUCAGGCUGGAGUGCUGGAGGGGUAAGCGGAAUUCCUAGUGUAGCGGUGAAAUGCGUAGAUAUUAGGAGGAACACCGGUGGCGAAGGCGGCUUACUGGACAGAAACUGACACUGAGGCUCGAAAGCGUGGGGAGCAAACAGG
rnacentral:rRNA from 1 species